GACGGAUUUAAAGCAUGUCUCCUCAAAGCGGGAACCGGUUUUGGGAUAAAGACAUGCACGAAAACAAAAGUUUAAAGCGUGUCGUGUGUGUAUGAUAACAAGCGACAUGCUUUAGGUUUAUUUUGCAGCGCCGGAUGUUUCCAUUUGGCUGCACAGUGUUUUUAGGG
rfam:Brucella melitensis biovar Abortus 2308 chromosome I, complete sequence, strain 2308